CGUUGUGGGUAACGCGGACGUGGAAGAACCUCGUCUGCGGAGGAAAAGUCCCAGGUGCCGAGUCAAUCCCCAUACACAGCCGCCGCCAUUGCCUCGAGUCCUUGUGUCUGACUGUCUGUUCCUGCUGCUGUAUGACACAGCACCUCGAGGCAAGGAAAUAAGAAAACUGCCUCUGAUCCAAGCAGAGAAGGUCUGCCUGUAGAUCUGCUGUAGGGCUUGUCACCAUUGGAAGCAAGGUCCUACUUCAGUGGCAGAUCUGGUGGCCUUGGAGUGGCUGAAGACCACCACCCUCCACAGGGCUGGGCCCAUGCACAGCCAUCCUUCCCUACCUUGAAACUCCUGUAGCCUGUAAUACCAGCUGUGGGUACUACUCUCAGUGUUGGAGAUCAUCAAAAUACAAUUGGACCAGACCCUUUGGAAAUAAUUCUGUGUCUCAAAUGCCCUGUGGAGCACACACUUAAUCAGUUGAUGGCUAUGGAAUUUUCCAACAUCAGCUAAAGAGAAGGGAUAGAGUGGUGACUUCCAAGCUUCAUGCAGAACCGGACAACAGAAAUUGAGAGGGAAAUUUCUAUGACAGAAGAGAGAAAGAAGAAAAUUGCUGGAAUAAUGACCUUGAAUAGAGGAAAUGGGAUAUCAUCUGGUAAG
rnacentral:lncRNA from 10 species